rnacentral:misc_RNA from 1 species
ACAAAAAGAUGCACAAAGCGCAGAAAAUGAAAACGGAAACGAAAACGAAAACGAAAACGAAAGAAAAAGAAACAACCGCGGUGAAGAAAAGAGCGAAAAGAAACCAAGACAAACUCUGUGUAGAGGGGCUCCCGGGAUAGUCGGGACCCCUGGAGCUACCCGCACCACUUCCGUCUUCCGAACUGUCUCCCUGCGUACGAGCCACCACUUUUUCCCAGGCUCAGGGACCGCAUAAGAGCCAUUCUCUAGGCUCAUCGCACCAAUACAUGGUCGCGUCCUUAGAGAGUACUAAUUAUUGUUUCUUUUAGUGCGAUCUCACAGUUUAGACUAGUCCAACAAGCUGCCGCUACUGCGCAACCAUCAUAGACCUCCUACAGCCCCACCCUCAGAAAGAGCCUUUAAUAGCGACUGAAAAUGAAAUGUAUAGCUGUAGUCCAGAUGCAACAAGGGACCCGGUCCAGCUGACAGAAUCUACGGUAUACCGAGG